UACGUAGGGUGCGAGCGUUAAUCGGAUUUACUGGGCGUAAAGCAUGCGCAGGCGGCGGUUCAAGUCAGGUGUGAAAUCCCCGAGCUUAACUUGGGAAUUGCGCUUGAAACUAGAUCGCUAGAGUACGGCAGAGGGGGGUAGAAUUCCACGUGUAGCAGUGAAAUGCGUAGAGAUGUGGAGGAACACCGAUGGCGAAGGCAGCCCCCUGGGCCUGUACUGACGCUCAUGCAUGAAAGCGUGGGGAGCAAACAGG
rnacentral:rRNA from 1 species